CUUUUGAUCAAAUGAAUCAAGAAAAACUUAGCUCUGAUACCAAAAAUGAUAGCAACGGUUACCGGAUGAUUAAGAUCGUUCCUUGAUGAUCUGGUUCAGCCAAUCUUUAAUCUUGAAUGAACUCAACAACAUUGAGCAUAUCGAACUCAACACCUUUGAAUUACACUAAAAGAAAGAAUUAUGGAAAUCUUCUAAGCAACCCAACCCAACCUAUUUGAACCCAACAACAGUAGGUAUAUUAAACCUACCACCUUUGAAUCACAAAAAGGUAGAAAAAUUGAAUUACUGUUACCCACCCCUAAAUCUAAUGAACCCAACAAUAAUAGGUAUAUUAAACCUAUCACCUUUGAAUCACAGAAGAGAAAGAAGAAAGGCCAAGGUGCCACAACUAGGAGGAAGAAUCCUAGUUGAUAAACCUAAUAAGUUUUGCAAGCAACUUGCAAGACCCAAACUAGCUCAAAGAGACUAACAAAUUAAGGAAAACCCUUAACAAGUAUGUAAUUUCAAUCUGAUUUUUACAAGUAGAGUGCAUCCCUAUUUAUAGGUCAUAGGGAGCAUGAAAUUCAAAAGUAAAUUACUUAAAAUUAACUUUAGAAAUAGAAACUAAUAAAGAAAAAUUCAAGAGUAAUUAAUGACUUGGGAUUCUAGUCUUCUUUGAAUUCAUUCUCCAAGACUGACUUCUGUUUACUCCAUGUUGAUUUUUCAUCAUCCAAUGAAGAGUUUUAAUGCUUUUGAAGACACCAAUCUUGUUCAUAAAUGAUCAGAUUUAUUGAUGUCCUUCAACUUCAAAGUCAAGCCAUUAUUGUUGACUAGAAUUGAUAAAAGAAUGUAGUCUUGAACCAGCCAUGCUUUUGCACUAAUUUUAGGCCAUAUUAGGGCCAAAAUGAUUGUCUUGAUCAACCCAAUAUGAUCCAUUAGCCCUUAUUGGCCCAUGAUCUGAAAUGGUCAUGAAAUUCACAAUUCUAGACUUUGCAUUGUGGGCUUUGGAGCAUUCUAGUGAAAGACUUGUGCUAAUCAAAUUCUUCAAAGCUUCUUGCACUUUCUUUCUUCUUGAACGUGUCAUUGGACCAGCAAUGUUGAUCAAAUUAUCAUCUUCACAAACUUGAGCUUCCUGAUUAGCAACAUUUGAUCUUUUGUGCAUUUGAUCGAUAUCAAUAUCAAACUCAACACCUUUGAAUUACACCGAAAGAAAGAAUUAUGGAAAUCGUCUAAGCAACCCAACCCAACCUAUUUGAACCCAACAACAGUAGGUAUAUCAAACCUACCACCUUUGAAUCACAAAAAGGUAGAAAAAUUGAAUUACUGUUACCCACCCAUAAAUCUAAUGAACCCAACAAUAAUAGGUAUAUUAAACCUAUCACCUUUGAAUCACAGAAGAAAAAGAAAAAAGGCAAAGGUGCCACAACUAGGAGGAAGAAUCCUAGUUGAUAAACCUAAUAAGUUUUGCAAGCAACUUGCAAGACCCAAACUAGCUCAAAGAGACUAGCAAAUUAAGGAAAACCCUUAACAAGUACGUAAUUUCAAUCUGUUUUUUACAAGUAGAAUGCACCCCUAUUUAUAGGUCAU
rnacentral:lncRNA from 1 species